CAGUUUUGGCAGCUCAUAUACUGCAACUGAAAUGAUACAGAGAAGUGUAGUAUGGUCCCUGAACAAGAAUGAUGUGUGAAUUUGAGUACUGGCUCUCUGUCUG
rnacentral:snRNA from 1 species